CAAAAGCGUAUAUUAAAGUUGUUGCAGUUAAAAAGCUCGUAGUUGAACCUUGGGCUUGGUUGGCCGGUCCAUCUUUUUGAUGCGUACUGGACCCAACCGAGCCUUUCCUUCUGGCUAGCCUUUUGGCGAACCAGGACUUUUACUUUGAAAAAAUUAGAGUGUUCAAAGCAGGCCUUUGCUCGAAUAUAUUAGCAUGGAAUAAUAGAAUAGGACGUUAUGGUUCUAUUUUGUUGGUUUCUAGGACCAUCGUAAUGAUUAAUAGGGACGGUCGGGGGUAUCAGUAUUCAGUUGUCAGAGGUGAAAUUCUUGGAUUUACUGAAGACUAACUACUGCGAAAGCAUUUACCAAGGACGUUUUCAUUAA
rnacentral:rRNA from 1 species